rnacentral:rRNA from 1 species
CGNUGCGNAGAUAGCCANGCANGUCUAGUACAUGCCGUAUUAAGGCGAAACCGCGAAUGGCUCAUUAAAUCAGUUAUGGUUCCUUGGAUCGUACCUUUCUACUUGGAUAACUGUGGUAAUUCUAGAGCUAAUACAUGCAGCAGAGCUCCGACCUUCGGGGACGAGCGCUUUUAUUAGACCAAAACCAAUCGGACUCUGUCCGUCUCUUGUGGUGACUCUGAAUAACUUUGGGCUGAUCGCACGGGCCCGUCCCGGCGACGUAUCUUUCAAGUGUCUGCCUUAUCAACUUUCGAUGGUAGGUUACGCGCCUACCAUGGUCGUAACGGGUAACGGGGAAUCAGGGUUCGAUUCCGGAGAGGGAGCCUGAGAAACGGCUACCACAUCCAAGGAAGGCAGCAGGCGCGCAAAUUACCCACUCCCAGAACGGGGAGGUAGUGACGAAAAAUAACAAUACGGGACUCUUUUGAGACCCCGUAAUUGGAAUGAGUACACUCUAAAUCCUUUAACGAGGAUCCAUUGGAGGGCAAGUCUGGUGCCAGCCGCCGCGGUAACUCCAGCUCCAAUAGCGUAUAUUAAAGUUGUUGCGGUUAAAAAGCUCGUAGUUGGAUCUCAGUUCCAGACGGGUGGUCCGCCUACCGGUGGUUACUGCCUGUUCUGAACAGCCAGCCGGUUUCUCUUGAUGAUCUUCACCGGUUGUCUUGGGUGACCGGCAAGUUUACUUUGAAAAAAUUAGAGUGCUCAAAGCAGGCGCGACGCCUGAAUAAUGGUGCAUGGAAUAAUGGAAUAGGACCUCGGUUCUAUUUUGUUGGUUUUCGGAACACGAGGUAAUGAUUAAGAGGGACAGACGGGGGCAUUCGUAUUGCGACGCUAGAGGUGAAAUUCUUGGACCGUCGCAGGACGACUANGNGANNUUUUUUUU